rnacentral:lncRNA from 1 species
AGCUUUGGAAACAAAUUAACAAAGACUUAGAACCCUGAGGCAGUAGCUGCUUGGACUGGCUGUGGAAUAUAUCCAGAAAGGUGGCAGCUGAAUGAUCUUAUACAAAUACAUUUCAUCUGUUUCCUCAUCAAGAAAUGGAAAUGCCUCAAUCUGGCUCUGGAAAGGUAGUCCUAGAUCACCCAGUGGCCUUUUACUGGAAAAGUCCUGCAAUAUCUCUGUCCCAAGAAGGAGCUUGCUGAGCUUCAUUACUCCCAAUCACAGAACUUGGAACUCUAACUUUAGCAAGCUGUAUCACCUGCAUCUAUGA